AGCGAACGUUUGCGGCGGGCUUAACACAUGCAAGUCGAACGAGAAUCCCUUCGGGGAGGAAAGUGGCGCACGGGUGCGUAACACGUGGAUAACCAACCCAUUGGUUUGGGACAACACCGGGAAACUGGUGCUAAUACCAGAUGUGUCGCAGCUGUCUUCAGGCGGUUGCGAGAAAGGCCCGCAAGGGUCGCCAACGGACGGGUCCGCGUCCCAUCAGCUAGUUGGUGAGGUAAUGGCUCACCAAGGCAAAGACGGGUAGCUGGUCUGAGAGGAUGAUCAGCCACACUGGAACUGAGACACGGUCCAGACUCCUACGGGAGGCAGCAGUGGGGAAUAUUGCGCAAUGGGCGAAAGCCUGACGCAGCCACGCCGCGUGAGCGAUGAAGGUCUUCGGAUCGUAAAGCUCUGUGGGGGGAGAAGAAGAAAGCCGGUGAAGAGCGGCCCUGACGGUAUCCCCUUAGCAAGCACCGGCUAACUCCGUGCCAGCAGCCGCGGUAAAGU
rnacentral:rRNA from 1 species